UCCUCCCUCUUUCCUCGUGCCUAAUACAUGCAAGUAGAACGCUGAAGAGAGGAGCUUGCUCUUCUUGGAUGAGUUGCGCACGGGUGAGUAACGCGUAGGUAACCUGCCUGGUAGCGGGGGAUAACUAUUGGAAACGAUAGCUAAUACCGCAUAACAACAGUUGUUGCAUGACAGCUGUUUAAAAGAUGCAAUUGCCUCACUACCAGAUAGACCUGCGUUGUAUUAGCUAGUUGGUGAGGUAACGGCUCACCAAGGCGACGAUACAUAGCCGACCUGAGAGGGUGAUCGGCCACACUGGGACUGAGACACGGCCCAGACUCCUACGGGAGGCAGCAGUAGGGAAUCUUCGGCAAUGGGGGGAACCCUGACCGUGCAACGCCGCGUGAGUGAAGAAGGUUUUAGGAUCGUAAAGCUCUGUUGUAAGAGAAGAACGGGUGUGAGAGUGGAAAGUUCACACUGUGACGGUAUCUUACCAGAAAGGGACGGCUAACUCCGUG
rnacentral:rRNA from 1 species